GUCUACAGCCACACCACCCUGAACACACCUGAUCUCAGAAGCUAAGCAGGGUUGGGCCUGGUUAGUACUUGGGAGGCCACAAUCAGAUCAAGAAUAGAAUCUAAAAAGUGCCAAAGAAGCUGGUACAGUGGCAC
rnacentral:rRNA from 1 species